rnacentral:rRNA from 1 species
AUACGUAGGGGGCGAGCGUUGUCCGGAAUGAUUGGGCGUAAAGGGCGCGUAGGCGGCCCGGUAAGUCUGGAGUGAAAGUCCUGUUUUUAAGAUGGGAAUUGCUUUGGAUACUGUCGGGCUUGAGUGCAGGAGAGGUAAGUGGAAUUCCCAGUGUAGCGGUGAAAUGCGUAGAGAUUGGGAGGAACACCAGUGGCGAGGCGACUUACUGGACUGUAACUGACGCUGAGGCGCGAAAGUGUGGGGAGCAAACAGGAUUAGAUACCCUGGUAGUCCACACUGUAAACGAUGAAUGCUAGGUGUAGGGGGUAUCGACCCCUUCUGUGCCGCAGUCAACACAAUAAGCAUUCCGCCUGGGGAGUACGGCCGCAAGGUUGAAACUCAAAGGAAUUGACGGGG